ACCUUAUUACAAAGCGGUGUUAGGGCACGAAGAAUUUUGAUUUCUUAAGAGAGGGACAUGAUCCUCCUGGUAAAGG
rnacentral:tRNA from 1 species